UCUCCGUAGGUGAACCUGCGGAGGGAUCAUUACUGAGUUUUUAACUCUCCAAACCAUGUGAACUUACCACUGUUGCCUCGGUGGUCGGUGCUGGAAACAGUGCUGCCACCGGUGGACUACUAAACUCUUCGUUAUUUACUGGCCUCUCUGAGUAACUUAUACAAUAAGUCAAAACUUUCAACAACGGAUCUCUUGGUUCUG
rnacentral:misc_RNA from 1 species